rnacentral:rRNA from 1 species
UGCCUUAAUACAUGCAAGUCGAGGGAUCUUUGGGAGCUUGCUCCCAUUGGUUAGCGGCGGACGGGUGAGUAACACGUGGGCAACCUGCCUGUAAGACUGGGAUAACUUCGGGAAACCGGAGCUAAUACCGGAUAAUUCUUUUCCUCUCAUGAGGAAAAGCUGAAAGUCGGUUUACGCUGACACUUACAGAUGGGCCCGCGGCGCAUUAGCUAGUUGGUGAGGUAACGGCUCACCAAGGCGACGAUGCGUAGCCGACCUGAGAGGGUGAUCGGCCACACUGGGACUGAGACACGGCCCAGACUCCUACGGGAGGCAGCAGUAGGGAAUCUUCCACAAUGGACGAAAGUCUGAUGGAGCAACGCCGCGUGAGCGAUGAAGGCCUUCGGGUCGUAAAGCUCUGUUGUUAGGGAAGAACAAGUACCGGAGUAAGCUGCCGGUACCUUGACGGUACCUAACCAGAAAAGCCCAGG